AGCGGCAUAAUUGGAAACAGAAAACCCUUCCGUGAUUAGAAAUUGCAGAUUUGAAAGCUGUUGGCAUGGUUUUGUCUGACAGGGUUCGAUUCCCUGUGCCGCUA
rnacentral:tRNA from 1 species